rnacentral:lncRNA from 1 species
AAUGGUGUACUUGGUGCGAGAACUGCUUGGUGAGAAUGAGAGAAUCGCAUGGAUCGUCGUGAUGGAAAGGGCGGUCCCACCGGAGACGGCGCAGGUGAGAAACGGGCUUCCUCGGACCAGGAAAAACCGGAGAUUCGAGGAAGGGAGGUCUAGAGUGACGCUGAGAUCACUGAAGGAAGACACAAUGUGGCGUCUCUGAGAAUCUGGGUCAGUUUUGUUGGAGGCGGAGAUGGUGAGAUCAGGAUUGAAGAUUUGGUAGAUGAAAACAGAGGUCAAGAACUGAGAUGGGUAUGAGAGGGAGAGAGAGGAGGAGGAAGAUUUGAUGAGAUAGGGAUGAAUAUACUCAGGCUGAUCACCAUGUUUGAGAACAAAGUUUUGGAAGAAGGAAUUGGUGGGAAGUGGGGCAGUAAGGAGGUCGGGAGAAAAGAAGGGGGAAGGAUCAGGUAUGACUGAGGAUUCGAUUUUUGGAAAGAGGAAGGGGGAGGAUUGUGGAAUGUGAUGGUGGUGAUGGGGUUCUGCCAUGAUUGGUGAUGAAGGAGACAGAGGAGACAAAGGAGACAAAGGAGGAGGCGGAGAAGGAGGUGGAGUUAUGGUUUUGGGGGUUUUAGGUGGUUUUGAACGUUUUUUGAAGCUCUUGCUAAUCACGAGUUUGACUUUUCUUCUGAUUUUUUUCAACAUCUCGAGGUGAUUGAUUGGUGAGCCUUGACCCAACUGUUAAAUUAUCGAAGAACGCAAAUAGAUCGAGGAUUUGUUAGGGAUUUUGAUACAGAAAACGGAGAAAAUGGAGGCAAUGGAAACGGAGAAAAUGGAGGCUGUUUGCCUCUAAUUGGAUGGAACUUUCCACCCACAUUCACAACCAGAGUGGGGUAGGUUUGGCCCUUUUGGGUGGGACUUGAAUUAAGAAUGUGAAAACAGGGAAAUGGGGGAAGUAAGAGGAAGAAGAAUGGAUUGGAAGGGAAGUUUGUGGGCUCUGCAAGUUAUGGUUUUGAUGAAUGGCAUGAUUGCAAGACAUGUUAAAUGGUUUUCAAAGGAAUAUGUGUAGGGAGGGACAAGACACUGGGGUGGUUAGGGAAUGUUUGGCAUACAAGAAAGUAAUGGGGUGAAUAUUCCUUUUUUAAGUUUUUCAGAGAAUGAGUGAAGCUUCACAACAUUUAGACAAUGGAUGCCACCUAUUUUAACCAAUGCUAAUGUUUUGAACCCUUGAUUUAUAUAACCAAACACAUCUUUCAAUUUCAGGUAUUUGAUUUUGGGUAAUUUCUCUUAUUGCAAGAAAGCCUUGCUACAAAGAAAGAAUAGCAAGAAAAGAAGAAAAAUUUUAGAAAAUGUCAACCAUCCAUGAGAAUAAUGGUGUAGUCAUUCACACAAAGUCUCAUGAGAAUUUAUAACACUUCUUGAUAUCCGUUGUCUUAUAUUUUGGGCUUAGAUUUCAAAAGAAAGAAUCAAUUGUAUUUUGGGCUUGAAAUUUCUUUGGGGUUUUGGCCCAAAUUGGGUUUUUAAAUAAGCAAUUGGGUUUGGUCCAAACUAGUUUGAGCCCAAUUAGUCCAUUAAAAAUGUUUAAAACCCUUUUCAACAAAUUUAAUUUCCAAUAUCAAAAGAUUCAAAAUCUAAUUCGAAGCUUUUGUUUUAACCUAUUUUUGAAUGAAGAACCUACCCAACUGUACCAAAUUACACUACAUAUUAUAGUUAAUACCACAUAAGCAACGCCAACAAUCACUCUAACCCCAUUAUUUCCUGCAUAAUGAGAAUUUUUUUUAUAAUUGUUCUGUGAUUUAAAAAUAGGAAAAUUAUCAAAAAAGUGGGCUAAAGAUGAUAAUGUCUAGGAAGAACUUAUGAAUUCAUAUGAAGGACAAAAUUUAUCAUAGUAUAAUUAUGUAUUUGAAUGUGAUCUUUUAUAUAUAAAUAACUUCAUGAUGAUGAUAAGGAUAGUCUAUCAAUAUUUGCAUAUAUCGGUUUCCAAAAUAUCAUUUUUCCCUUUUGAAUAAUAUUUGCAUAUAAGGAUACUCAAUCAAUAUUUGCAUAUAAAUAACUUCAUGAUGAAUUCAUAUUAUUUUUUCUUUGACCUAUAUAUAUAUAUAUAUAUAGGUCAAAGAAAAAAUAAUAAAAUAUUAAAAUAAAAAAUUAUAUAUUUUUUUUGUUAUUUUCAUUAUAAUAAAUUAAAUUAUUUGAAAUAUACUUUUUUUUUUCAAGUUCUUUUUUUUUCUUCAAAAAACUUGAGAUUUUUUAGAGAAUCCGGUAAAAAAAAUUAAUUUUCAAUCUCUCCUAAAUAAAAAUCACGCCCUAAGGUUAUUAUGUCAUUAUAUAUAUAAUUAAAAGUUUUAUUAUUCUAAUAGAAUAAACAAUGAUUUUUCACGAGUACUCAUCAAUUGAAAAAUAUUCAACUAUUUGUUUGGUAAUAUAGCAUGUGAAUUUUUUUUUAAAAUAAAUUAAAUUAUGUUAUAAUGUAUUAUUACAUUAGUGUAUUUGUAUUAUAAGUAUACUGCAUUUAUGUUGUACCUAUAUUUUAUGACAAAAGUAAUGAUUCUAAAAAUACCUAUUCAUACCCUAUUGUAUCUUAUAUAAAAGUUAUUAGUAUUUUCUCAUUUAAAAAAAAAAAGUAUAUCCAAAUUAUAAAUCUAACCUCUAUUUUUAAAUUAAUUUCAAGGUAAAAAGAUGAAAAGAAUGUUAAGUACAACGUAUGUCUUCAACCAAGAUAAAGGAAAGGAUCAAUUAUGUGUAAAAGAGAGACUCAAAUAAAGUAGAAGAGUUCAAGUAAAGGUGUGAGCAAGUCUUACGCAUGAGAGAUUGGAAAUAAAUAUUAUGGAGAGAGUUAGAGAACGCACAACCAUAAGAGAUAAGAAAUAAAUAUUAUGGAGAGAGUUAGAGAGCGCACAACCAUGAGAGAGAAGGUUUGAAGCCUUGUUGUCAAGUUCAAAGGGAAAUUGGAACUCAAACUAAUGCAUCAACACUAACCCUAACUUUGAGUUUAAUUCUAGGUAGACUCCUAUGAGUUUUAUGAUAAAUCGCACAUAUAGUUUGGAAGCUUUUAAAAGUCAGAAAUCCAACUCUUUAAAUUAUUUGUAAAUCAAAGUUAAAACAAAGAAGAUAUGAUAAACCCAAUUGAAUUACAUGGAAAAAAAAUAGUCUAAUUUAAAAAUUACAAAUUAAGCUCUAAAUAGUGUUCAAUCAUUUGGACCUCAAAGGCAAUACGACAAAGAAAAAGGCACCGGUGAAAUUUGAAACCCAACAUUCAUUUUGAAUAUAGGGACACUAUUUUAAACCCAAAACACGGAGGAAACAAAAUAAGUAUUGGUUGAGUUUGAAAUAAUCGGUAGAUUUCAAACUCAACUAGUUAAUUUUGUACUAAACCAUUUUAGAGACUUAGGCCACUUAUGAGUAUGAGAAAGCAAAACAUUAUUGAGAUUUUGCUAUUUUUUAUCUUAAAAAAGGUUGAAUAGUUCUAAAAUGAUCAUAGCUACCUUUUAGGUAGAUAAAUAACAAGAGUGGCUAUAAAGACUUUGUAGGCAAAAGGAGCAACAAGGGUGUUUUGGUAUUUUCCACAAACUUAUAUUUGUGUGUAUAUGUUAAGGUUAUUAUUAUUAUUAUUAUUAUUAUUCACUUGAAAGUCCUAAACUUUAUUGUUUAAUGAUCUAAUUUUAUUAGAAGUUUGUUCUUUCUUAGGUUCCAAUUUGGGUGGUUCAACUCAAAUCUAACUAACCCAAUUUUGCAUGGACUUAGGUGAUUUAAUUUGUAAAUUAGGUUUGGCUUGGUCAAAAAAUAUCAACCUAGAUUAAAUUUAGGUUGGGCUUGGGUAAGGGUCUCAAGAAACCUCAACCUAGCACAAACCCAAUUGUAUAUUUGUAUAAAAUUUAAAUUAUAAAUUUUUAUGUAUGUAUUGUAUGUAUGUAUAUAUAUUAUUUCAUGGUAUUGUACUGAGAAUCUUUUUGGUAAUGCUUUCAAAAAUUAUUUCUAGCUUAAAAAGUCAUUUUUGAAAAAAUGAUCAGACAAAAUUUAAAAAAUACUUUUAUAAAGUUAAAAAAUCACUUGUAGUGUAAACGACCUGAACAGUUGGAGAAAAGAAACUUAGCAUUUCACAUGAUGCUGAAGCAGAUGUGGAAUAGUUGUUCUUCAGUUUCAGCUAAGAAAUUGAGAAGACAGGGCAAUAUGCAUAAAUCAAUCCAGUCAUGGCUGCCCAAAGGAAAGAUUCAUCCAAUCUUCGGGCAUAAUUUAUUCGACUACAUCCCGAAUGUAAGGCAAAGAAUUUCACUGAUAAUACUGGCCAAACCAGGAUAAUUUUCCUCCUUCAAGUCCCCCUUCCCCUUCAUCUCCUCUGCUGUGAAUCCACCACAAAAGGUUCGUAAGUGAGUUUCCAUCAUCAUAACCACUCAGUUUCCCGAUCUUCUCCAAUGCCACUUCUUUGUCAUAAAUCCCUUCCAUGGCAUAUAGAAACCCCUUCCACCCUUCUCCAACUCCCUCCCGUCCCAAAGCUGGCAAUGUCCAUUUCACCAGCUCUCUCACAAACCCCACAUCGGAGAACAGAACCUCGGUGAUGGGCAAUACAGGUAACACCUGAAUUCCAAGCCUGCACUCUCUCCACUCAGGAGGAGCAAACCAAAGUCCACCGUCCCUCUUGUUAGCCCACAGAAUACCCACCACCCUGUUCUCCCUUGUGAAAUCUUCUGCAUACAUUUUAUCCCCUUCUCUCACAUGCCACCAUGUUUGAGCUGCCUCUAUCUCCAUUGCUGCAAGCGUUGACCCAGUGGCUACAAGAGGGGCAUCUCCAUAGGCUAAUCCCAUCAAUGCUGCAGAAUAGUAGGUAUUCACAGCUUCACUAGUGCUCUCCUGGUUCCUCCCGCCUGAAGAUUCAGUCACCCCACUUGCCCAAGAAUGCAAUUUCCAUAAAUCAAAACACCUCAAACGAGUAUAGUUGGAAUUCGAAUUCCUCCCUAAGUUCAUGACAUCCGCCAUUAGGGAAUAAGCUUGAGGUCUAUACUUCCUCCCCCAUGCAGGGUCAAUCUUGGCCAGCACUGCAAUUGCAUAAAGAAAAUAACCCAGAUGGAAAUGGUGAUCGUUGUACACUCCAAAACCAAAAUCUGCCCCCGAUUCCGUUGAUCCUUGUUUAGUAACAAGUCCACCCCACAUUCCAUCAUACAAGAAACCAUUCCCACCAAAACUACCAUCCAACCAGGGGGUAAUCGUAUUCUUCAAGAAAUUCCUAAUUGCCGGUAUCACAUCAAGGAAACUCACCUCCUCUGCAAUCAGUGCCAAUCUCGCUCCCCUGGCAAUCAAUUUCCCGUAAUAAUAAGAGGAUGGUGUCCAUAUACCACCGGAUGAAUUCAGUGAUGGAAAGGGCGGUGUGGGCGGAGACAGCGCAGGUGAGAAAGGGGCUUCCCCGGACGAGGAAGAAGCGGAGAUUGGAAGAAGGGAGGUCUAGAGUGACACUGAGAUCACUGAAGGAAGACACAAUGUGGCGCCUCUGUGAAUCAGCGUGGGUUUUGUCCGAGGCAGAGAUGGUGAGAUCAGCAUUGAAGAUUUGGUGGGUGAAAACAGAGUUGGAGAAAUGAGAUGCG